rnacentral:rRNA from 1 species
GAUUGGCUUUAGGGACCCGGCAACGGGACCCUGUUGCUGAGAAGUUGAUCAAACUUGGUCAUUUAGAGGAAGUAAAAGUCGUAACAAGGUUUCCGUAGCAAAAGUCUACGAUYGAACAGCAAUGUUCCUUCCGCAGAGUACACUUGCAGAAGCCUUAGUGGCCCGAAAGGGUUUCAYCAGCGACUCUAAACAACUAGGUGGAUUAAAYGCUAGUCUCAUUAUGAGGCRACACUAUCAAAUUGCGGGAAGAUCCUGUCAUGUCCACAUYACCGCRGCUCACCGAAAGGUGCAGUGUCAGCACCAGGCUAACAACCUUGGGUAUGGUAACAGUAUGUGGAAUAGGGAGAAUCCGCAGCCAAGCCCCUUUGUGGGGUGCAGUUCACAGGCCAAAUGGUAGUGGGCACUGRUUCAGUGCUUAAGAUAUGGUCGAGUCCCAAUUGUGAGAUUGGGUACAAGUACUCUGUACRAAAUGCAAAUGUUCCGUAGGUGAACCUGCGGAAGGAUCAUUAAUGAAUUACAAGUCGGUCAUCUGUGCUGGUGGAAACACAUGUGCACGUUGAUCGCAAAUCCACACACCUGUGAACCUUUGACUCUGAGAUUCGCUUGUGCAAACUUGCAGCUGGUUGACUUUGGUCGGCCUGGAUCUUGGAGUAUUUUUACACACUCUGAAUGUAAUGGAAUGUCUAUGUGCAUAACGCGCAAAAUAACAACUUUCAACAACGGAUCUCUUGGCUCUCGCACCGAUGAAGAACGCAGCGAAAUGCGAUAAGUAAUGUGAAUUGCAGAAUUCAGUGAAUCAUCGAAUCUUUGAACGCACCUUGCACCCUUUGGUAUUCCGAAGGGUACACCCGUUUGAGUGUCAUUGUAAUCUCACUCCUUCGACUUUGUUGUUGUUGGAUGUGGACUUGGACUCUGUUGUGUCACAACGACUGGUCUUAAAUGAAUGAGUGCACCCUGCUGUUGCAGYGUCUUCAGUGUGAUAAGCAUCUUCACUGGAACAAAGUUCCCUUUUGGGACACGCAGGCAUUGUAGGCUCUGUGCUGGCAAACCGUCUUUUUGGACAAAUCUUUGACAAUUUGACCUCAAAUCGGGUGGGACUACCCGCUGAACUUAAGCAUAUCAAUAAGCGGAGGAAAAGAAACUAACAAGGAUUCCCCUAGUAACGGCGAGUGAAGAGGGAAAAGCUCAAAUUUUGAAUCUGGUGUCUUUGGCGCCCGAGUUGUAAUCUAGAGAAGUGUUUUCUGCCUCGGACCACACAUAAAUUCCCUGGAAUGGGGUGUCAUAGAGGGUGAGAAUCCCGUUUGUGGUGUGGACUACCUUGGCUCUGUGAUACACUCUCAACGAGUCGAGUUGUUUGGGAAUGCAGCUCAAAAUGGGUGGUAAAUUCCAUCUAAAGCUAAAUAUUGGCGAGAGACCGAUAGCGAACAAGUACCGUGAGGGAAAGAUGAAAAGCACUUUGGAAAGAGAGUGAAACAGUACGUGAAAUUGUUGAAAGGGAAGCGUUUGAAGUCAGUCGCAUUGGUCGGAACUCAGCCUGGCUUCUGCCUGGUGUAUUUUCUGGCAAAUGGGUCAGUGUCAAUUUUGAUCGAGAGAGAAAGACUUGAGGAAUGUGGCUGUCUUCGGGCAGUGUUAUAGCCUCUUGUUGUAUGUCUUGGUUGGGAUUGAGGAACGCAGCACGCCUUUUGGCCGGGGUUCGCGCCCUCGGUACGUGCUUAGGACACUGGCAUAAUGGCUUUAAGCGACCCGUCUUGAAACACGGACCAAGGAGUCUAACAUGUGCGCGAGUGUUUAGGUGUCAAACCUGGGCGCGUAAUGAAAGUGAAAGGUCGGGAUCAUGUACUUGUGCACCGACGCCCGGAGCAGACCUUCUGUGACGCAUCCGCGGUAGAGCGUAUAUGUUGGGACCCGAAAGAUGGUGAACUAUGCCUGAAUAGGGUGAAGCCAGAGGAAACUCUGGUGGAGGCUCGUAGCGAUUCUGACGUGCAAAUCGAUCGUCAAAUUUGGGUAUAGGGGCGAAAGACUAAUCGAACCAUCUAGUAGCUGGUUCCUGCCGAAGUUUCCCUCAGGAUAGCAGAAACUCAUUAUCAGCCUUGUGCGGUAAAGCGAAUGAUUAGAGGCCUUGGGGUUGAAACAACCUUAACCUAUUCUCAAACUCUAAAUGUGCAAGAUAGGGUUGUCACUUGAUUGGACUUCUCUGUGGGUGAGAGUUUCUAGUGGGC